UACAGAGGUCCCCAAGCGUUGUUCGGAUUCACUGGGCGUAAAGGGUGCGUAGGCGGUUGGGGUAAGUCUGAUGUGAAAUCUCACAGCUUAACUGUGAAACUGCAUUGGAUACUAUCCGGCUAGAGGAAUGGAGGGGAGACUGGGAAUACUUGGUGUAGCAGUGAAAUGCGUAGAUAUCAAGUGGAACACCAGUGGCGAAGGCGAGUCUCUGGACAUUUCCUGACGCUGAGGCACGAAGCCAGGGGAGCAAACGGG
rnacentral:rRNA from 1 species